rnacentral:rRNA from 1 species
GAUGAACGCUGGCGGCGUGCCUAAUACAUGCAAGUCGAGCGAACGGACGAGAAGCUUGCUUCUCUGAUGUUAGCGGCGGACGGGUGAGUAACACGUGGAUAACCUACCUAUAAGACUGGGAUAACUUCGGGAAACCGGAGCUAAUACCGCAUAAUAUUUUGAACCGCAUGGUUCAAAAGUGAAAGACGGUCUUGCUGUCACUUAUAGAUGUAUCCGCGCUGCAUUAGCUAGUUGGUAAGGUAACGGCUUACCAAGGCAACGAUGCAUAGCCGACCUGAGAGGGGGAUCGGCCACACUGGAACGGAGACACGGUCCAGAAUCCUACGGGAGGCAGCAGAAGGGAAUCUUCCGCAAUGGGGGAAAGCCUGACGGAGCAACGCCGGGUGAGUGAUGAAGGUCUUCGGAUCGUAAAACUCUGUUAUUAGGGAAGAACAUAUGUGUAAGUAAAUGUGCACAUAUUGACGGUACCUAAUCAGAAAGCAACGGCUAACUACGUG